rnacentral:rRNA from 1 species
GACGAACGCUGGCGGCGUGCUUAACACAUGCAAGUCGAAGAUAGUGGCGAGCGGGUGAGUAAUACGUGGUUAGCCUGCCCUCCUUUUUGGGAUACGCCUUGGAAACGGGGUCUACUCCCGAAUAAAGGGGGAUGGACUCGCGGCUUUUCAGCUUGUUGGUGGGGUGAUGGCGUACCAAGGCGGUGACGGGUAGCCGGCAUGAGAGGGUGACCGGCGACAGUGGGACUGGGAGACGGCCCAGACGCCGACGCGGGGCAGCAUUGGGGGCUAUGGCAGAAUGGGCGAAAGCCUGAUGCAGCGAGGCUGCGUGGGGGAUGAAGGCUUUCGGGUUGUAAACCUCGUGCGCUAGCGAACGGGUAGGUGGAGAAGAAGCGCCGGCUAACUACGUGCCAGCAGCCGCGGUAAUUC